rnacentral:rRNA from 1 species
UACAGAGGUCCCAAGCGUUGUUCGGAUUCACUGGGCGUAAAGGGUGCGUAGGUGGUGAGGUAAGUCGGAUGUGAAAUCUCCGAGCUCAACUCGGAAACUGCAUUGGAAACUACCUUGCUAGAGGGUUGGAGGGGGGACUGGAAUACUUGGUGUAGCAGUGAAAUGCGUAGAUAUCAAGUGGAACACCAGUGGCGAAGGCGAGUCCCUGGACAACUCCUGACACUGAGGCACGAAGGCCAGGGGAGCAAACGGG